CCCCGAAUGGCGCAGUUGGUAGCGCAGUCGGCUGUAAACCGAAAGGUCACCGGCUCGAAUCCGGUUUCGGGGA
rnacentral:tRNA from 1 species